GACGAACGCUGGCGGCGUGCUUAACACAUGCCAGUCGAACGGAAAGGCCCUGCUUGCCGGGUACUCGAGUGGCGAACGGGUGAGUAACACGUGGGUGAUCUGCCCUGCACUUCGGGAUAAGCUUGGGAAACUGGGUCUAAUACCGGAUAGGAGCCAUCUUUAGUGUGGUGGUUGGAAAGUUUUUUCGGUGUAGGAUGAGCUCGCGGCCUAUCAGCUUGUUGGUGGGGUAAUGGCCUACCAAGGCGGCGACGGGUAGCCGGCCUGAGAGGGUGUACGGCCACAUUGGGACUGAGAUACGGCCCAGACUCCUACGGGAGGCAGCAGUGGGGAAUAUUGCACAAUGGGCGCAAGCCUGAUGCAGCGACGCCGCGUGGGGGAUGAAGGCCUUCGGGUUGUAAACUCCUUUCGCUAGGGACGAAGCUUUGUUGUGACGGUACCUAGAUAAGAAGCACCGGCUAACUACGUG
rnacentral:rRNA from 1 species